UCAGGGCACAGAUGGGUGCAGAGGGU
rnacentral:piRNA from 1 species